CCAGAGUGCCCUAGGCUCUCCAACCCAUUGUGAACAUACCUAUCGUUCCCUCGGCGGGCUCAGCGCGCGGUGCCUCCGGGCUCCGGGCGUCCGCCGGGGACAACCAAACUCUUUCUGUAGUCCCCUCGCGGACGUUAUUUCUUACAGCUCUGAGCAAAAAUUCAAAAUGAAUCA
rnacentral:misc_RNA from 1 species